rnacentral:lncRNA from 1 species
UUGUUAUAAUAUAUUUACCCCAAAUCUGUAUCCUCUUACCUCAAUUCAUAUCCAAACAGGGGUAAAAGAAAGCUACCAAUGAAAGAUCCCUUAGCCAUCUUUUCUCUGGAUAAAAGCUCACAUGAAAUGAGAAAAGGAUUAGAAAAAUGCUCAGAAAGUUGGGAGGCAAAUGAAAGAAAGUAAAAAACUAUGACAGUGUAAAGAGGGGGAAUAAACCAUUUUCAAAACACUGAAGCCAUUUGAUAAUUUGGAGAAAAGAUGAAGUCACAA